UUCCCCUGGGGAUGGGCAAAGAGACCCCUUGUUGUUGUUCUUAUACCAGUCAGGGUCAGAGCAGAUGGCAGUCCUUUGUUCAUCCUAGCUUCAUGCCUGGCUUGGUGGGCAAAACUGUUGUAUGCCUAGGACUCAUAA